GCCUGUGGGGUAGCUCAAUUGAUGGAGCAUGAGACUCUUAAACUCAAGUAGGGUUGCCUGGUGGGGGUAGGAGCAAAAGUCUCGAGCUUUUUUCAGUUCUGCUCAAAGUUGUUGAGCUUUUCCCCCGGACAUUUCAGUGAUUUCUGCCCGGACGCUAUUUCUGACGGCCGAAUCUCCUCUAUGUCUGGGAAAUUCUGAACACCCUAACUCAAGUUCAUGGGUUCAAGCCCUGUGUUGGGCA